rnacentral:rRNA from 1 species
AGGACGAACGCUGGCGGCGUGCUUAACACAUGCAAGUCGAGCGGAAAGGCCCUUCGGGGUACUCGAGCGGCGAACGGGUGAGUAACACGUGAGCAACCUGCCCCUGGCUCUGGGAUAGCCUUCGGAAACGGGGAUUAAUACCGGAUAUUCACUGCUUCCUGCAUGGGGGGUGGUGGAAAGUUUUUCGGCUGGGGUGGGGCUCGCGGCCUAUCAGCUUGUUGGGGGGGUGACGGCCCACCAAGGCGACGACGGGUAGCCGGCCUGAGAGGGCGACCGGCCACACUGGGACUGAGACACGGCCCAGACUCCUACGGGAGGCAGCAGUGGGGAAUAUUGCGCAAUGGGCGGAAGCCUGACGCAGCGACGCCACGUGCGGGAUGAAGGCCUUCGGGUUGUAAACCGCUUUCACCAGGGACGAAGCGAGAGUGACGGUACCGUGGGGAAGAAGCGCCGGCUAACUACGUGCCAGCACGCCGC